GGGCACGUGGCGGAAUUGGUAUACGCGUACGCUUCAGGUGCGUAUGGGGCAACCCUUGGAGGUUCAAGUCCUCUCGUGCCCA
rnacentral:tRNA from 1 species